CUACGGGGGGCACCAGUGGGGAAUAUUGCACAAUGGAGGAAACUCUGAUGCAGCAACGCCGCGUGGAGGAUGACACUUUUCGGAGCGUAAACUCCUUUUAUAUAGGAAGAAGAUGACGGUACUAUAUGAAUAAGCGCCGGCUAACUCCGUGCCAGCAGCCGCGGUAAUACGGAGGGCGCAAGCGUUACUCGGAAUCACUGGGCGUAAAGAGCGUGUAGGCGGAUUAAAAAGUCAGAAGUGAAAUCCUAUAGCUUAACUAUAGAACUGCUUCUGAAACUCUUAAUCUAGAAUAUGGGAGAGGUAGAUGGAAUUUCUGGUGUAGGGGUAAAAUCCGUAGAGAUCAGAAGGAGUACCGAUUGCGAAGGCGAUCUCCUGGAACAUUACUGACGCUAAGGCGUGAAAGCGUGGGGAGCAAACAGGAUUAGAUACCCCGGUAGUC
rnacentral:rRNA from 1 species